ACUUGCAGUAGGAGGAGGCGUGUCUUGUACUUAUCUAAAUCGCGGUCCACGUGAGCUCUUCCUUGAAGUCGAAGUCUGAUCAUGUCGAGAUCUUGCACAAAGGAUAAAUCCUGGAGAAUGGACAGAGAAAACUGGGUACCAUUUUGAGUUGACCUUGUAUGUUGCACUUGAUGCUCCCUUCGACUACACCAUACCAUGGCAAGCUUUUUGCACACUCGACCAAUGAAUCCAUGGAUCUCCUAAAAGGUCAUCGGCAGCCUGUGAUGCGUCUGAGGAAGCACAAGUUAGAGGAGAAGGAUGCCAUGAGCGUGGAAGAGCAAGACCCCAAGGCUUUGAGAAUGGACGAAUAAGAGGCGCUGUCACACUAAAUUUGUACCGGCUGCCAAAUUUGUACCGGGCGCGUCACCCAUACGUAAUCCACUCCAAAUCUGCCUGGCAACAGAUGAUCGCUUCGUCCGUUGCCUGGCAACGGACGAUCGCGUCGAAUGACGUGACCAUUCGCGAACCUUCUAUCUAGCGAUCCGUUAUCUGUAUUGUGCUAUUUCGUCCUUGAUCUGCUUUAAACACUCAGUUUACUUGCUACAUUUUAUUAAACAAUUAAAUACAAUACAAAUAUAAAGUAAAAACAAGUGUUAUCUGUAAUGAUAUCAACAUCAGUUAUUAGACCGUCACACGGAGCAUGCGCAGUUGGAUUGGCGCGCUGCAUGUUGAUGUCUGUUCCAAGAUACAUCGUGUGUUUAUUAAUGAACCCAACAAAACAUUACAUUAUCUAGCGAUCCGUUAACUGUAUUAUGUUAUUUCGUCUUUGGCAACAUGAGCGCGAAUGUUUUUUGAAACCUGCCCGGCAACGGACGACGCGAUCAUCUGCUGACAGGCAGGUUUGGAAUGGAUUACGUAUGGAUGACGCGCCCGGUACAAAUUUGGCAGCCGGUACAAAUUUAGUGUGACAGCGCCAACGAAAUGUAUUCAAUUCAAUUAUUUGAAUUAUUAUUCUGUCUUUUUUUUACCGAUGCAUAUGCAUUUCUUAAAUGCAUAUUCUUAAAUGCAUAUGCAUUUCUUAAAUGCACAUUCACGUAAGCCAGUAAGGCUAUGAUUAAGCUAAUCAAGAGCAUAUUUUUAAAUGAGCGGGUCGGUGCAUUAUUUUUAUAUAUAGGCCUAAUAUUUGAGGUCCGAGUUGCGGUCAUUUAUGUACCCGCGCACAACUGCUACAUACAGAUCACUUCCGCGAUUUAUAAAAAUACUAGACACGCCUCCUACUUCUGCGAUUUGGAAAAGUACAAGACACGCCUCCUACUACAAGACUAUCGUAAUGGGUCGGCCAUAAUUGUAGUCUAUAUACACACACCACCAGAUGGCAUUGUUUACCCAAUUUUGCAUUGGAAUUUUAGUUCCCGAUAGUGUCAUGCAGAAGUUAAGUUUAGAAGAUAAUUCACCAUGGAAAUUAGUGGUUGAGGUGUAAGGAUACAAAUUGUUAGUGUUACCAUCGAGGUUGAGGACGACAUGUUGAUACCAUGCUAUAGACUGCUUGGGUUUGGUUGGUUCAGUUAAAUCAAGGUGUAUACAAUAAUCCUUUUCAUAGAGAAUAGGCCUACUUGUUCGAAAAUACAAUUGUAUCUACUUGUUGAGCUCAUCAUCUCAUCCAGUUUCAAAUGUGUUUUUAUGGAUGUAGUGUUCGCUGACACCACUGGGAGGAUCUAACAAGUACCAUAUAGCAGAACCUACAUUGCCCUUCCCCAUUUUAAGAUGUAGAUGUGUUGGUAUGACCUCUAGUGACAACAACAAACAACAUCUGUGGGUGGAAAAGGCUAAUGAUAAUAUAAAUAUUUUGAUAUAAGCUAAUAUUGUUUGUUUACAAUUAGUUCAUAUCCAAAAGAUUGUGCUCUUUCAAUACUUCAUUAAGAACCCCCUUUACGUGACUUUUCUUUCUUUCUUUCAUGUUUAUUUCGAAUAUGUAGACAAAAGAAAAAACAAACAAAUUUUGCAAAAAAACAACA